rnacentral:rRNA from 1 species
UACGUAGGGUGCGAGCGUUGUCCGGAAUUAUUGGGCGUAAAGCGCGCGUAGGCGGCCGCUUAAGUCGGAUGUGAAAGCCCCCUGGCUCAACUGGGGGAAGUGCACCCGAAACUGAGUGGCUUGAGUACUAAAGAGGGUCGCGGAAUUCCCGGUGUAGAGGUGAAAUUCGUAGAUAUCGGGAGGAACACCGGUGGCGAAGGCGGCGACCUGGGUAGAUACUGACGCUGAGGCGCGAAAGCGUGGGGAGCAAACAGG